rnacentral:rRNA from 1 species
AGAGUUUGAUCAUGGCUCAGAACGAACGCUGGCGGCGUGGAUAAGACAUGCAAGUCGAGCGAGAUUUUUUCCUGUAGCAAUACAGGGAAAAGUCUAGCGGCGAACGGGUGCUUAACACGUGGGCAAUCUGUCUUAAAGUGGGGGAUAGCUCGGCGAAAGCCGAAUUAAUACCGCAUGUGGUUAGAGUGGACAUCCAUUCAAAAUCAAAGGUGGCGCAAGCUACCGCUUUUUGAGGAGCCCGCGGCCUAUCAGCUAGUUGGUGAGGUAACGGCUCACCAAGGCUUUGACGGGUAGCUGGUCUGAGAGGACGACCAGCCACACUGGGACUGAGACACGGCCCAGACACCUACGGGUGGCAGCAGUCGAGAAUUUUUCUCAAUGGGGGAAACCCUGAAGGAGCGACGCCGCGUGGAGGAUGAAGGUCUUCGGAUUGUAAACUCCUGUCAUUGGGGAACAAGGUGCAUACGUUAACUGCGUGUGCAUUGAUAGUACCCGAAGAGGAAGAGACGGCUAACUCUGUGCCAGCAGCCGCGGUAAUACAGAGGUCUCAAGCGUUGUUCGGAUUCAUUGGGCGUAAAGGGUGCGUAGGCGGCGCGGUAAGUCGGGUGUGAAAUCUUGGAGCUUAACUCCGAAACUGCAUUCGAUACUGCCGUGCUUGAGGACUGGAGAGGAGACUGGAAUUUACGGUGUAGCGGUGAAAUGCGUAGAUAUCGUAAGGAAGACCAGUGGCGAAGGCGGGUCUCUGGACAGUUCCUGACGCUGAGGCACGAAGGCCAGGGGAGCAAACGGGAUUAGAUACCCUAGUAGUCC